rnacentral:rRNA from 1 species
UGGGGAAUAUUGCACAAUGGGCGAAAGCCUGAUGCAGCAACGCCGCGUGAGUGAUGAAGGUCUUCGGAUUGUAAAGCUCUGUCUUUUGGGACGAUAAUGACGGUACCAAAGGAGGAAGCCACGGCUAACUACGUGCCAGCAGCCGCGGUAAUACGUAGGUGGCGAGCGUUGUCCGGAUUUACUGGGCGUAAAGGGUGCGUAGGCGGAUGUUUAAGUGAGAUGUGAAAUACCCGGGCUUAACUUGGGUGCUGCAUUUCAAACUGGAUAUCUAGAGUGCAGGAGAGGAGAAUGGAAUUCCUAGUGUAGCGGUGAAAUGCGUAGAGAUUAGGAAGAACACCAGUGGCGAAGGCGAUUCUCUGGACUGUAACUGACGCUGAGGCACGAAAGCGUGGGUAGCAAACAGGAUUAGAUACCCUGGUAGUCCACGCCGUAAACGAUGAGUACUAGGUGUAGGAGGUAUCGACCCCUUCUGUGCCGCAGUAAACACAUUAAGUACUCCGCCCGGGAAGUACGAUCGCAAGAUUAAAACUCUAAAGUGAAUUGACGGGUCAUA